CGGGCAGGUGAAGCACAUCAAGGUGGCGGCCAGCGAGGGGCUCUACUGGGUCACCGAGAAAAAAGCGUUCAAGGGGCUGGUGGAGCUGGUGGAGUUCUACGAGCGGAAUUCGCUGCGGGAUUGUUUCAAGGCUCUGGACACGACCCUGGCCGUGCCCUACAGGGACCCCGAAACCCGAGCGGGACCCCGAGACCCCGGUGCCACCCGCAGUUUCGGCUC